rnacentral:rRNA from 1 species
ACGAACGCUGGCGGCGUGCCUAAUACAUGCAGGUCGAACGCAUUUUCUUUCACCGUAGCUUGCUACACCGAAAGAAAAUGAGUGGCGAACGGGUGAGUAACACGUGGGUAACCUGCCCAUCAGCGGGGGAUAACACUUGGAAACAGGUGCUAAUACCGCAUAAUUCCAUUUACUGCAUGGUAGAUGGAUGAAAGGCGCUUUUGCGUCACUGAUGGAUGGACCCGCGGUGCAUUAGCUAGUUGGUGGGGUAACGGCCUACCAAGGCUGCGAUGCAUAGCCGACCUGAGAGGGUGAUCGGCCACACUGGGACUGAGACACGGCCCAGACUCCUACGGGAGGCAGCAGUGGGGAAUCUUCGGCAAUGGACGCAAGUCUGACCGAGCAACGCCGCGUGAGUGAAGAAGGGUUUCGGAUCGUAAAACUCUGUUGUUAGAAAAGAACAAGGAUGAGAGUGGAAAGUUCAUCCCUUGACGGUAUCUAACCAGAAAGCCACGGCUAACUACGUG